rnacentral:rRNA from 1 species
ACUUAUGCCCAAAUCACCCAGAAUGCACCUGAUCUCAUCAGAUCUUGGAAGCUAAGCAUGGUUCGGCCUGGCCGGUGCUUGGAUGGGUGACCACGACGCACGCCACAUCGUCGUAGGCG